GAACUGCAAGGAGCCGUUGGCCAGAGGGAACACCCUGAGGGGCUGGUACGCCAUCUACCCCCGCGACUGUAACGCCAUGACUGUGCUGUGUGACAUGGACACAGACGGAGGAGGAUGGACUGUUUUCCAGAGACAGGUGGAUGGUUCAGUGGAUUUUUUCCGUGACUGGGAGUCAUACAAGAAAGGUUUUGGCAACCAGCAGAUGGAAUUCUGGCAACAUUCACCUGCUAACAUCUCAUGGAAGUAAUGAGCUGCACGUCGACCUCAUGGAUUCUGAAACCGAGAAGUAUUUUGCCAAGUACAAAUCAUUCCAAAUUUUAGGAGAAUCUGAGAACUAUAAACUGAUUCUAGGAGACUUUCUCAAUGGCACAGCAGCAGUUCUCCCGUGAAGACAGGGAGGAAACAUCAUCCCUUGGAACAUGGCUCCCAGUUUCACGCAUCACUGAGGACCCAUGACACUGGUACCAAUCACAGAAGUGCUCUUAAAUCAAACCCACAGAACAGGAAGUACAUCCUGUAGUCAUUGCUGUGCUAGCUUUGCCUGGGCCCAGGGUCAAACCUGAACCCGUAGUGGUGGGUUUUGGUUCUGCCAAGAGCCACGGACCCAGACUGGCUUCAGGUUUCUAUAUUUUCCAUCUAGCACCUCCUGUCACCAGCCCCAAAGCCAAAUCCCGUGGCCCUUACCCAGGCCAAAGUGUCAGGUCACACUGAGAUCAAUAGGAUUUUGGGUGAAUGAGGUCUGAGUACAAAGCUCAGGAACAAGGCCUCUGUUAGAGGGGUUUGAAAGUUUUAGCCCAGUUUUGGCUUAAAACGUGGCCCAAAAAUAUCCCUUGGAUCUGAACCACCAAUACUUUGGGGGUAGUUUGGAACUGGACUUUGUAGCUGGACUCAUCUCUGUAAAGGGAUGAACCAAAAUCCCUGAUCCAAACUGCCUGAACUUGGGGAACAGUUGGAUUUGAAGCCAAAGUUUGUGAUUUGUGCCAUCCUGGUUCUGGCCCUAGCUGUAAAGCUUAGGGGUAGUUUUCAGGGUCCAGAUAUUUGAGCAUAAACCCCCAGUGUAAGCAAGACCGAAUGUGUCAUUCUCGGAGCACUGUUAUAAAAAGUUUCCUCUUCCUCCCUAUUCCUGAGAGGCCUCCAGAGUGAAACAGCAGCCUCCCCCCCCCGUACUGUGAGGAC